UGGAGGGCAAGUCUGGUGCCAGCAGCCGCGGUAAUUCCAGCUCCAAUAGCGUAUAUUAAAGUUGUUGCAGUUAAAAAGCUCGUAGUUGAAUUUUGGACUUUGUGCCAGAGUCGGCCUAUUUGGCUGUGUACGCCGAGCGCAUUGUCCUUUUUUCUAGUAGUGCCGGCGCGAGUCGGCAGGACUAGGACGUUUACUUUGAAGAAAUUAGAGUGUUUAAAGCAGGC
rnacentral:rRNA from 1 species